rnacentral:tRNA from 1 species
CAUCAGAUGACUGAAAGCAAGAACCUGGUCUCA